rnacentral:rRNA from 1 species
AUUGAACGCUGGCGGCAGGCCUAACACAUGCAAGUCGAACGAGCGGCGGACGGGUGCGUAAUGCCUAGGACUCUGCCUGUUAGUGGGGGAUAACGUCAGGAAACGGGAGCUAAUACCGCAUCCUAUCACCUGCGCAUAGGUCGGAUUAGCUUGUAGGUGGGGUAACGGCAAACCUAGGCGACGAUCCCUAGCUGGUCUGAGAGGAUGACCAGCCACACUGGAACUGAGACACGGUCCAGACUCCUACGGGAGGCAGCAGUGGGGAAUAUUGCACAAUGGGCGCAAGCCUGAUGCAGCCAUGCCGCGUGUAUGAAGAAGGCCUUCGGGUUGUAAAGUACUUUCAGCGGGGAGGCGUUACCCGCAGAAGAAGCACCGGCUAACUCCGUGCCAGCAGCCGCGGUAAUAC